rnacentral:lncRNA from 1 species
AUGGAUUCUCUCUGCUGCGGAGUGUCUGUGUCUCCUGGCUGCCGAAGGCUAGACACUGUGCCUCCCCCCUUGGACCUUUAUCCACAUUUGGCCCCUUCUGGAAUGCCCUUACCUGCCUGGCCAGUCACUGAUUACCCUUCAAACCCAGCACCCCACGAGCAGCCACUCCAUUGGUGAGUAGCAGUGGAGAUGCCCAGUGCUGCUGUGAGUGCUGAGGGGAUCGCAGACCCUGGCAAGGCUGCCCAGCCACAGGGCCAGGGGUUAACUUGACCCCCCCCACAC